rnacentral:rRNA from 1 species
AACGAACGCUGGCGGCAUGCCUAACACAUGCAAGUCGAACGAGACCUUCGGGUCUAGUGGCGCACGGGUGCGUAACGCGUGGGAACCUGCCCUUAGGUUCGGAAUAACUCCCCGAAAGGGGUGCUAAUACCGGAUAAUGUCUUCGGACCAAAGAUUUAUCGCCUUUGGAUGGGCCCGCGUUGGAUUAGCUAGUUGGUAGGGUAAAAGCCUACCAAGGCGACGAUCCAUAGCUGGUCUGAGAGGAUGAUCAGCCACACUGGGACUGAGACACGGCCCAGACUCCUACGGAAGGCAGCAGUGGGGAAUAUUGGACAAUGGGCGAAAGCCUGAUCCAGCAAUGCCGCGUGAGUGAUGAAGGCCUUAGUGUUGUAAAGCUCUUUUACCCGGGAUGAUAAUGACAGUACCGGGAGAAUAAGCUCCGGCUAACUCCGUG